CAGUAAACUACUGUAGACCUGAUGUCUUGGAUUAAAACCGUGGCGCGAAUAAGAUCCGCCAUGUGGCCUAUAACCUUAGGAAUCCAACAUCGCCCAACCUUGUCAACAUAACUAAACGUAACCUUAGUAGAUUUAUUUACUAGUGGAAGCAUUAAAUUCUUUUUAAAUAAGCUGCAAAUAUUAUGCAAAUGUCUGAAAAUAAGUUAAUUAUAUUA
rnacentral:misc_RNA from 1 species